GAUUUGGCACUGUUACUUUAAAAAGUAGCUUGAGUUGCUUCAAUCAGAAAAAUCAAUAAGAUGACUUUAUAACUGGACAUGGUUAGUAACUAGCAAUGCUUUGAAACUCAAAGAUUGUCUGAAAGUCAUUUAGACCCUCAUGGCUUCUUUCUGUGUACAUUCUGGUCCUUAAAACACCACCAUCCAAGCGUCAUCCUAUUUGCUUGCAACUCUUAGACCCUGCUGACACUCUCUUCACCUUUGAAAGAGGAACACUGAAGCCAUAACGAACAGCAAGCCGUUUCUCUUGGGAUUUCUGCACGACCAGAUGAAUGAAGCAUAGGGCAAAGAAAAUGGAAGAGCUGACUCACAAGAGGUUAUGUCACUUGUCCAAGAUCACACAAGGAGAUACAGUAAUAAAUAGCAAAAAUCAACAGUC